CCCAGACUCCUACGGGAGGCAGCAGUGGGGAAUAUUGCACAAUGGGGGAAACCCUGAUGCAGCGACGCCGCGUGAGUGAAGAAGUAUUUCGGUAUGUAAAGCUCUAUCAGCAGGGAAGAAGAUGACGGUACCUGAUUAAGAAGCCCCGGCUAACUACGUGCCAGCAGCCGCGGUAAUACGUAGGGGGCAAGCGUUAUCCGGAUUUACUGGGUGUAAAGGGAGCGUAGACGGUGAUGCAAGUCAGAAGUGAAAGCCCGGGGCUCAACUCCGGGACUGCUUUUGAAACUGUGUGACUGGAGUGCAGGAGAGGUAAGCGGAAUUCCUGGUGUAGCGGUGAAAUGCGUAGAUAUCAGGAGGAACACCAGUGGCGAAGGCGGCUUACUGGACUGUAACUGACGUUGAGGCUCGAAAGCGUGGGGAGCAAACAGGAUUAGAUACCCUCGUA
rnacentral:rRNA from 1 species